GGGCCGUUAGCUCAAUUGGUAGAGCAGCUGGCUCUUAACCAGUCGGUUCGGGGUUCGAGUCCCUGACGGCCCACCA
rnacentral:tRNA from 1 species